rnacentral:rRNA from 1 species
CAGCCGCCGCGGUAAUACGAAGGGGGCUAGCGUUGUUCGGAAUUACUGGGCGUAAAGCGCACGUAGGCGGAUAUUUAAGUCAGGGGUGAAAUCCCAGAGCUCAACUCUGGAACUGCCUUUGAUACUGGGUAUCUUGAGUAUGGAAGAGGUGAGUGGAAUUCCGAGUGUAGAGGUGAAAUUCGUAGAUAUUCGGAGGAACACCAGUGGCGAAGGCGGCUCACUGGUCCAUUACUGACGCUGAGGUGCGGAAGCGUGGGGAGCAAACAGGAUUAGAGACCCCGGUAGUCCCUGUCUCUUAUAC